CCUACGGGUGGCAGCAGGGAGGAAUAGUGGGCAAUGGGCGGACGCCGGAACCAGCCAAGUCGCGUGAGGGAAGACGGCCCUAGGGGUUGUAAACCUCUGUUGUCAGGGAGCAAGUGGCGCUACGUGUAGCGUUAUCGAGAGGACCUGAAGAAAAAGCAUCGGCUAACUCGGGGCCAGCAGCCGCGGUAAUACGGAGGAUACGAGCGUUAUCCGGAUUUAUUGGGUUUAAAGGGAGCGUAGGCGGGUUGUUAAGUCAGUGGUGAAAGUUUGCGGCUCAACCGUAAAAUUGCAGUUGAUACUGGCAUCCUUGAGUACAGUAGAGGUAGGCGGAAUUCGUGGUGUAGCGGUGAAAUGCUUAGAUAUCACGCAGAACUCCGAUUGCGAAGGCAGCCUGCUGGACUGUAACUGACGCUGAUGCUCGAAAGUGUGGGUAUCAAACAGGAUUAGAUACCCUUGUAGUC
rnacentral:rRNA from 1 species